GAUGAACGCUGGCGGCGUGCCUAAUACAUGCAAGUCGAGCGAACAGACGAGGAGCUUGCUCCUCUGACGUUAGCGGCGGACGGGUGAGUAACACGUGGAUAACCUACCUAUAAGACUGGGAUAACUUCGGGAAACCGGAGCUAAUACCGGAUAAUAUAUUGAACCGCAUGGUUCAAUAGUAAAAGACGGUUUUGCUGUCACUUAUAGAUGGAUCCGCGCCGCAUUAGCUAGUUGGUAAGGUAACGGCUUACCAAGGCAACGAUGCGUAGCCGACCUGAGAGGGUGAUCGGCCACACUGGAACUGAGACACGGUCCAGACUCCUACGGGAGGCAGCAGAGGGGAAUCUUCCGCAAUGGGCGAAAGCCUGACGGAGCAACGCCGCGUGGGUGAUGAAGGUCUUCGGAUCGUAAAACUCUGUUAUUAGGGAAGAACAAAUGUGUAAGUAACUAUGCACGUCUUGACGGUACCUAAUCAGAAAGCCACGGCUAACUACGUG
rnacentral:rRNA from 1 species